UCCGAUAUGGUGUAGUGGCCAACAUGAUGCCCUCUCAUGUCCUUGAGAGGUUAGGCAUAGCCCCGAGUUCGAUUCUCGGUUUCGGAA
rfam:Colletotrichum orchidophilum strain IMI 309357 Scaffold_136.1, whole genome shotgun sequence.